AUUGAACGCUGGCGGCAGGCUUAACACAUGCAAGUCGAGCGGAGAGAGGUAGCUUGCUACCGAUCUUAGCGGCGGACGGGUGAGUAAUGCUUAGGAAUCUGCCUAUUAGUGGGGGACAACAUUUCGAAAGGAAUGCUAAUACCGCAUACGUCCUACGGGAGAAAGCAGGGGAUCUUCGGACCUUGCGCUAAUAGAUGAGCCUAAGUCGGAUUAGCUAGUUGGUGGGGUAAAGGCCUACCAAGGCGACGAUCUGUAGCGGGUCUGAGAGGAUGAUCAGCCACACUGGGACUGAGACACGGCACAGACUCCUACGGGAGGCAGCAGUGGGGAAUAUUGGACAAUGGGCGCAAGCCUGAUCCAGCCAUGCCGCGUGUGUGAAGAAGGCCUUAUGGUUGUAAAGCACUUUAAGCGAGGAGGAGGCUACUUUAGUUAAUACCUAGAGAUAGUGGACGUUACUCGCAGAAUAAGCACCGGCUAACUCUGUGCCAGCCGCCGCAGUAAGAC
rnacentral:rRNA from 1 species